GUUAAUAGGCCUCUUUUCUCCCCGCUGCCAAGUGGCGUGCGGUGCAUUGUGUUUGUGGUACCGCAGUGGAGGGCAGGUGUUCCAUCCACACUGGAUCUGAUUCCCAGCCAGAACGUUUCAGAGGCUGGAGGUGACGCACAGCGACGAGUUCCUGAUUGCUGCUGACACGGGGAGAAGCGGAAGGAGGCUUUUAGGUGAUUUUAGGCCUUCACCAAGAGGAGGGGAAGCACAGAGCAGCAGCUCUGGGGAAGGGACUGGAGUGACCCUGUUCAUCUCUCCGGUCGCCACAUCAGGAGGUGGCCUCAUUCACAUCACCCAACACUGCAGGCUGCACCCCGCACGUCUGCCCCUGCCUCGCACCACCAUGGAGCGCUGUGGACUCUUUUUCUUGUCCAGAUCACAGACCUUAAAGAUCUCAGAACCCCAGGACCAUCCAGCUCCAAGGAUGAAGCUCAAAACCCACUUUCUCCUCCGAGGUGAACUUUCCUCGUAAAACUAAAUGAAGCCUCAUAAAAUAAUUUCCUUCCAUGACUCAAAAGUAUCAUCGCCAUAACACACACAGAAAUCUGGCAAGCUCCCCUUUUUAAUCACGUCUCAUGAUAUAAAAGGGAAUUGUUUCUUUAAACCACCUCAUGUCUCUCCAAUGUAUUUACAGUGUGAGUCACUUCAUCCAGGGGUAUUUGCAGUAAUAAAAUAUUUGAGAAGAAAAAAAUAGAAGUCUCCUCCCAUCUCUUGGGGGUUUCCCUCUGGAAAACUUGUUUCUAUCAGUGUCUAGAAGGCUGCCCUUCCACGUUCCUGUGUACCACGUUUGAGUCUGAUGGGGACACAGUCUUGACUCAGAGGGCAUUUAACAGUUUAAACUAUAUUUGAAAUGUUUUCCUGUUUGCCAGACCCUAGUUUUGAUCCUUUUUCUUUUAAUUAUGCCAGUCUACAGGUUAGAGAGAAAUGAUGCCAGGGAUCCUGUCAUCUUUUAGGUACAACACAAAAGAGUUUUGCUUUUUUGUUUAUUUCCACUUAUUUUUCUUCUCUCCCAUGUUUCCCCCCAACAUUUGGAUCUGCCCAGGAAGAGCUUCGUAUCUCACUAAGCAAAAUUCUUUCCUAUUUUACUGUAGUCCAAUAUAUAUACAUAUUGCAUUUUAAAAGAUGAAUUUUGCAAAAAGUGAGCUGAAAGAACUUACGCAUCUUGAGCUCAGUGCUUUUUUAACAAUGAAAUGCAAACCACAGGGUAAUGCAACGUAUACAAUCCAGAAGAAGCAAGACCUGUCAUGACUGGGUCCAUCCUUCUCCAAUCUCGCCUCCCUUUGUGGUCAGCAAGAGCUAUUUGAGUCUGUGUUGGCUUUAUGAACCGUAAGCUCCCAAAAGGAAGACUUGCCCAAGUUCUGGAGCCUGAAUUCUGUGUCACACACCUUCCUACCACUCAUGCAGUGAUCUUUCCUUCCCUCCAUACAUUGCUUUGGGCCAGUCCCCCAUUCAACCGCCCAGCUCUGUAGCUCCCAAGAGCUUUAAAAAAAAAAAAAAAAGACUCCCACUAACCCCAUUAU